rnacentral:rRNA from 1 species
GACGAACGCUGGCGGCGUGCUUAACACAUGCAAGUCGAACGGGCCUGUCUUCUUUUUUGGGGGGUGGGUUGAGUGGCGAACGGGUGAGUAUCACGUGAGUAACCUGCCCUUCGGUCCUGGAUAACCGCUUGAAAGGGCGGCUAAUACGGGGUGGUCCGGUUGGUCCGCAUGGGCUGGUCGGGAUAGAUUCACUGUUUUUGGUGUUUCGGCGGGGGAUGGGCUCGCGGCCUAUCAGCUUGUUGGUGGGCUGAUGGCCUACCAAGGCGGUGACGGGUAGCCGGGCUGAGAGGGUGGGCGGCCACACUGGGACUGGGAUACGGCCCAGACUCCUGCGGGAGGCAGCAGUGGGGGGUAUUGCACAAUGGGAGGAAGCCUGAUGCAGCGACGUCGCGUGAGGGAUGGAGGCCUUCGGGUUGUGAACCUCUGUUUCCGGUGGUGUAGGCCCUGUCCGUGUGGUGGGGUUGACGGUAGCCGGGGAUGAAGCGCCGGCUAACUACGUG